rnacentral:lncRNA from 10 species
UUGGAGAGGGAGGUUCCAGCAGGGUCGGCCUCACACACAUGAAGGGUCUUGGAUGUCGACACUGGACAUCCUUCCCCAGGGAGGUAGUUCAUUCAGUCAUGGAACAUUUCAAGGUGGGAAGAAGGUGUUCAUCACAUGGCUAUGAUCAUGUACCCAUUGCAGACCACCCUGUCCUGGGGGCAUGAGGAGUUCAUCUCCUAAAUCAGUGGUUCUCAACAGGGACAGUCCUCCCUCCCCAGGGGACAUUUGGCAAUGACUGGAGGAGUUGCUACUGGCAUCUCCUGGGUGGAGGCCAGGCAGGGCUGCUGCUGAACAUCCCUGUCUAGUGCACAGGACAGCCUCCACCACAAAGAAUCAUCCAGCCCCAAAUGUCAACAGCACCGAGGUUGAGAACUCUGUUCUAAGCCCUGAAAUUAUCAUUUGACAAGCGCAAUUAUAAUGCAAUGUCUUUUUGAUGCACCAAAGGCAUUAAUGUCUUCAAUGUGAAUAUUUAAAACACACAGGUGACCUGUUUGGUGAUUUAUUUCUUAAUAAAGCAGGAGCCUUGUAACAUGGGAGUGGUUCCAUGCAAAGGGAACAGCAUGCACCAGGCUCAGUGGCUCAGUGGAAAGAGAGCAGGCAUCUGUAGUUGACUACACCUGG